AUGAUUUAUUUUAUUCUACUGUUGGAGACACUUUUUCUGCUCACUCAAGUCUCUCAUCAAGAGGUUCAGUCUCCUGAGUCUCUGUCUGUUAAAGCAGGGGAUUCUGCCUCUAUCAGCUGUACUGGGACCAGUGGAGUUGGUUAUGACAUGAGCUGGUAUUUGCAGAAACCUGGAAAAGCUCCUAAACUCCUGAUCUAUGGAGUAAGUUACCUUGAAUCUGGAGUUUCAGAUCGAUUCAGUGGAAAUGGAUCUGAACCUGCUUUUACACUGAACAUACGUGGAGUCCAGCCUGAAGAUGCAGGAGUUUAUUACUGUAUGGGGUACUAUGGUGGUGGAAGGUGCACACAGUGA